GGCUAGCGUUGCUCGGAAUCACUGGGCGUAAAGGGUGCGUAGGCGGGUCUUUAAGUCAGGGGUGAAAUCCUGGAGCUCAACUCCAGAACUGCCUUUGAUACUGAGGAUCUUGAGUUCGGGAGAGGUGAGUGGAACUGCGAGUGUAGAGGUGAAAUUCGUAGAUAUUCGCAAGAACACCAGUGGCGAAGGCGGCUCACUGGCCCGAUACUGACGCUGAGGCACGAAAGCGUGGGGAGCAAACAGG
rnacentral:rRNA from 1 species